rnacentral:rRNA from 1 species
CUACGGGGUGCAGCAGUGGGGAAUAUUGGGCAAUGGGCGCAAGCCUGACCCAGCAACGCCGCGUGAGGGAAGAAGGUUUUCGGAUUGUAAACCUCUGUCCUUGGGGACGAAGAAGUGACGGUACCCAAGGAGGAAGCUCCGGCUAACUACGUGCCAGCAGCCGCGGUAAUACGUAGGGAGCAAGCGUUGUCCGGAAUUACUGGGCGUAAAGGGUGCGUAGGCGGCAUAUUAAGUCAGGUGUGAAAUACUCGGGCUCAACUCGGGGGCUGCAUUUGAAACUGAUAUGCUUGAGUGUGAGAGAGGAAAGUGGAAUUCCUAGUGUAGCGGUGGAAUGCGUAGAUAUUAGGAGGAACACCAGUGGCGAAGGCGACUUUCUGGCUCAUAACUGACGCUGAGGCACGAAAGCGUGGGGAGCAAACAGGAUUAGAUACCCUUGUAGUC